rnacentral:rRNA from 1 species
UACGUAGGGUCCAAGCGUUGUCCGGAUUUAUUGGGCGUAAAGAGCUCGUAGGCGGUUCGGUAAGUCGGAUGUGAAAACUCUGGGCUCAACCCAGAGACGCCAUCCGAUACUGCUGUGACUUGAGUCUGGUAGGGGAACUCGGAAUUCCUGGUGUAGCGGUGAAAUGCGCAGAUAUCAGGAGGAACACCGAUGGCGAAGGCAGAGUUCUGGGCCAGUACUGACGCUGAGGAGCGAAAGCGUGGGGAGCAAA